GGCAGUAUAACCCAGUGGGUAGGGCACUGGACUGGCAGUCCAGAGACUUGGGUGCUAUCCUUAGCUCUACCA
rnacentral:tRNA from 1 species